rnacentral:rRNA from 1 species
GUGCACGCUGGCGGUAGGCCUAACACAUGCACGUCGAACGGCAGCACAGUAAGAGCUUGCUCUUACGGGUGGCGAGUGGCGGACGGGUGAGGAAUACAUCGGAAUCUACUUUUUCGUGGGGGAUAACGUAGGGAAACUUACGCUAAUACCGCAUACGACCUACGGGUGAAAGCAGGGGAUCUUCGGACCUUGCGCGAUUGAAUGAGCCGAUGUCGGAUUAGCUAGUUGGCGGGGUAAAGGCCCACCAAGGCGACGAUCCGUAGCUGGUCUGAGGGGAUGAUCAGCCACACUGGAACUGAGACACGGUCCAGACUCCUACGGGAGGCAGCAGUGGGGAAUAUUGGACAAUGGGCGCAAGCCUGAUCCAGCCAUACCGCGUGGGUGAAGAAGGCCUUCGGGUUGUAAAGCCCUUUUGUUGGGAAAGAAAAGCAGCAGGUUAAUACCCCGCUGUUCUGACGGUACCCAAAGAAUAAGCACCGGCUAACUUCGUG